AGCGAACGCUGGCGGCAGGCCUAACACAUGCAAGUCGAACGAACUCUUCGGAGUUAGUGGCGGACGGGUGAGUAACACGUGGGAACGUGCCUUUUGGUUCGGAAUAACUCAGGGAAACUUGUGCUAAUACCGAAUGUGCCCUUCGGGGGAAAGAUUUAUCGCCAUUAGAGCGGCCCGCGUCUGAUUAGCUAGUUGGUGAGGUAACGGCUCACCAAGGCGACGAUCAGUAGCUGGUCUGAGAGGAUGACCAGCCACACUGGGACUGAGACACGGCCCAGACUCCUACGGGAGGCAGCAGUGGGGAAUCUUGCGCAAUGGGCGAAAGCCUGACGCAGCCAUGCCGCGUGAAUGAUGAAGGUCUUAGGAUUGUAAAAUUCUUUCACCUGGGACGAUAAUGACGGUACCCGGAGAAGAAGCCCCGGCUAACUUCGUG
rnacentral:rRNA from 1 species